rnacentral:rRNA from 1 species
CGUAGGGGGCAAGCGUUGUCCGGAUUUAUUGGGCGUAAAGCGCGCGUAGGCGGCGCGGUAUGUCGUGCGUGAAAUCUCCCGGCUUAACUGGGGGGGGCCGUGCGAAACUGCCGGGCUUGAGGUCAGAAGGGGAAAGUGGAAUUCCGGGUGUAGUGGUGGAAUACGUAGAUAUCCGGAGGAACACCAGCGGCGAAGGCGGCUUUCUGGUCUGAUACUGACGCUGAGGCGCGAAAGCGUGGGGAGCGAUCCGGAUUAGAUACCCGGGUAGUCCACGCCGUAAACGAUGAGUACUAGGUGUCGGGGGUAUCGACCCCCUCGGUGCCGUCGCUAACGCAUUAAGUACUCCGCCUGGGGACUACGGCCGCAAGGCUA